rnacentral:rRNA from 1 species
UGGGGGAUAUUGCACAAUGGGCGAAAGCCUGAUGCAGCGACGCCGCGUGGAGGACGAAGGCUUUCGGGUUGUAAACCUCUUUCGCUAUCGAACAAGGCCCGCUUAGGGUGGGUUGAGGGUAGGUGGAGAAGAAGCGCCGGCUAACUACGUGCCAGCAGCCGCGGUAAUACGUAGGGCGCGAGCGUUGUCCGGAAUUAUUGGGCGUAAAGGGCUUGUAGGCGGCUUGUUGCGCCUGCUGUGAAAACGCGGGGCUUAACUUCGCGCGUGCAGUGGGUACGGGCAGGCUUGAGUGUGGUAGGGGUGACUGGAAUUCCAGGUGUAGCGGUGGAAUGCGCAGAUAUCUGGAGGAACACCGAUGGCGAAGGCAGGUCACUGGGCCAUUACUGACGCUGAGGAGCGAAAGCAUGGGUAGCGAACAGG